AUAAAAUCAAAAGGGGAGGUCUGGGGGAGAAGAAGAAGGAAAUAAAAUCAGAGGGAAAGGUGGGGGACGAGUCUGUCGGAGCAAAACAAUUCCAGCGGGGGGAUAAAAAAAAAAUAGCCGGAGAGGAGAGAUUAGCCGUGGCCUUUGGUUUUGGGAGAGCUGGUAAAUGAAGGCCUGGUGUUGAUGACCGGUGGCUGGGUUAAGGAGGAGGAAAUCCGGCCUGGUUUGGGUCGAAAAAAAUGAAACCGGGGAGGGGAGGCAGCUAUGUGUUGUUGGCUGGAAAAGCCAAACGAAGAGGGGGGAACAGUGUGACGGCUGGCUUGGUAGAGGUAGAUUUUAGGGUUUUUCUUUUGUGUUGUCUCUCCCCUCAAAAAUAUCAAAAUUGCCCCCCCCCCUUUUGUGUGAGUUAAAGACCAGUAUUUAUAGGCCAAAAUGUUGCCAAGUUUUGCAACUUGGUCCCUCAACUUCUUUCUUUUUGUAAAUUUUGAUUUUUCUUAUUUUUUUGUAUUUUUUGAAAACGAGCAAUAUCAACGUCGACUCAACGAGGAAAAUCAAUGUUUUUAAAAAUGACGCGUGAAAAGUCGAACGCGUUUGAAAAUCUUUUAAAAAUUUAAAUUCUUUUUUUUUAGACGACGUUGAAAAUGCUAAAAGGACAAAAAUAUAUUAAAAAAACAUAUUUUUUGGAUUUUCAUUAUUUUUCUCUAUUUUUGGAUUUUUUUUUAACAUAUAUCAAAAACAUGGGUCAAAAAUUGGGUAGCAAUAGAUGCCCCCUCUUUACAAUGCUUACGAAGCGAAAAUCCUCAAAAUUUUGCAUAGUAAGCUUUGUAAAGAAAACAAAAGGAAAAUGAUUUCAUUAUCUUGGGCAACCUGCCCACACACUCACACUUAUCUAUUUUCACGGGCGACCUGCCCACACAUACUCACUCUGGUCUAUUUUCACGGGCGACCGACCCACCCAAACUCACUCUAGUCUAUUUUCACGGGCGACCGACCCACACUCUCACACUGGUCUAUUUUCACGGGCGACCUGCCCUUUUAAUUGGGUUUACCUGAGAUCCCAUCUGGCGACCUCUCGACUGGCACGAAAAUAUGUGUAACUCGGUUAACCUGAAAUCCCAUCUGGCGAUUUCCUUUAACCAAAGCUACAUGAGAUCCCAUCUGGAGACCUCAUUCAACUGGAACGAACAUAUGUGUAACUCGGUUAACCUGAAAUCCCAUCUGGCGAUUCCCUUUAACCAAAGCUACAUGAGAUCCCAUCUGGCGACCUCAUUUAACCAAAACAAAAGAAUGUGUAAAAAAUGUUCUCAUUGUAUGGGUGACCUACCCAAGAAAAAUGAUGGUCUCAUCGUAAAUCUUGGUGGUAUGCAUAUGUUCGAUGUUCAUCCAAAUGCACUCACCCGAUAACAUCUGUCCGGAGUCAUAUCCAUGUUUUACAAAGUAACCUAAGAUGAAGAUAUGAAAAUAUCUUUCUAGUGCAGCGUUGCUCAACAAUUGCUGCUGAAGUGCACUAGAUCAUGGAUUGUCUUUGAACAACAUUGGCCUCAGUAUGAUCUGAAGGUUCAUUCAUCGGUUUAUACUCAAGAAGGUUUUUCUUUGUCAUUGUCAGAUGCUAAACAUAACUUUGACGACUCAUCAUCGGAUUCUUUCUUUGCCCCCAGCUGAUCUGGAUACUGUUUGCUUUCCUUCUUAAGGUCCACUGUAUUGCCCCCAGGUGGUCAACGUUUCAAGGAGUGUCGAGAAAUGUUGAUGUCAUUUUUGUCAAGAAUUUUGCAAACUCAAUUGAUGUUCUUGUUUGAAAAUCUUUCUUGUUCUGGAAUCAAAUCUCAACAUUUCAACGAUCAUGUCUAUUCAAGUAUAAUUGUUGAAAUGAAAUCAGAGAGAUAUCAGUUUUUGAAAAGUUAUUUUUGAAAUUCGAGCUCCUUUGGUCAAAGACCCAACACACUAUUCAAUGCAGUCCUUUGAUUGUCUUGUAUUUUGAAAACAGAAAUGACCCGUUGUAAGAUUUAAAAUGACUUUUUCAUGGUUCUUUGUGUCCACUUUAAACUCUGAUUUUGGGUAUAUCUUUUGAUGGUUUAUGGUGAGGUGAUAUUUUUGUGAAUUUCAAAUGACUAGAUGCUCAGGCUUGAUAAAGAAAGGUUGUUUCUUUUCUCAGUAUUUAUUUUAUCAGCAUGCAUAAUAACCAGUAGCCUAAUUCAAUGAAGCCACGACUCUUAUAGAAAAACUCUUCAAGUUUUGAGAUCGCCAUUUAUUGGUUCAGAUUGCUUGCUUGAUUAAAAAGGGCUUUUUAAAAGCACGUAAUGCAGGCUAUGGUUCAUGGCUAUGAAAGAAAGGAAUUCCAUAGGCUCAAAAGGUGUUUGAGGGUUUCAACGACCUAGGACCAACAUUAACUAUUCAUCGAUUCUCUUUCUCUUGUCGUCAUUGUAGCGAGAGUGACAUAUAACCUUGUUAAUCUUCAAAUAUCAGAAUUCUCUUAACAUAGGUCAUAAUGCAAAUCCAACUUUUCUUUGAUGAAUAAACUAAUCUAAUUAUUUUUGAAGACAUUAGAGGCUCUAUCCAAGACACACCAAAAGAUAUGAAGCAUCGAUUUUUCUAGUGUUGACUUUUGGCAUUUGCUGUCUUUUCUCAAUUGAAAACUGUCUUGCCUCUCUUAGAAUUGAUAGGCAUUUUCUUUCCUUUCCUUUCUUUACAUUUUUUUUUUGCAUAGCCUUCCUCAAAGUUUUUCUUGGAUGGCCCUCAAUCUAUGGAUUUUCUUCUUCUAGCCCUUUCUCAAACAUUGGACUUUUGUUCUAAGCUUUUCUUUGAUCCAUUGAUUUUAUCAGUGUCUCCAAAAUAUUUCUCAUUUGCCCCCAGUGUGGGGUGUGAUCCUAGUCAGGGUUUUUUUGAAAGAAAAUAUUCACCAAGCUCAAAAUGGGACUACAAGGGAUAUAAUUUUAGAAAGUGAAGGAUAUCAAAGAUGGCCUUUUCUCAUUUCAAGCAAGGUCGGUUAGAACCGAUAAAUUUUGACCUCAUCUAGUGUAAUGAUUUGACUUGUAAGAAUCAUGAUUCACGAGUCCAUAACUAUUGAAUCCACUACAUGUCAUUAUGCAUACUGCUAAAACUUAGCUAUAUGAUGUGUGGUUCAGUUUCAAAAGGUAUGAGUUCAAAAUUGUUUGGUCACCUCAUGUCAUUUUCAAGCAUAGAGUCAUUUCUGUAAUCAAAACACUUUUAAUCUUCCGGAUUGAUUAACCUUUAUCGCAUGUUGGAGUUUGAUCAAAAUAUUUUGUCAGAAUAAAAUGCUAAACAUCUGUUGAUUUCAAAACAACAAAGAGACAAAAGCAAGGCAUGUUUCGUUGAAGGAUGAGAGGUGAUCCCAAAACAAAAUGCAGAAUUCCAAAACAAUAUGAUUGACUGUUCAUCACCAUUCUUGAAUCAGCUUUUCUGGCAAUAUUUGCGUUUUGUCAAGCACUUUCGAUCAACAUGUCAUUCUGAAGAUGUUCGGGGGGCAAUAUAGCCAAUGACACCCUCCUUCACCGACUCCACUUGUCUCUUGCUCACCAACUUUCAAACUCAAUUCUUGCAAUUCUUGAAAUUGCUCAAUUGAAAUGGUUGAGGACCCCAUCAUGACAUCACAUCUCUUGUCUGGAUUAAACCACCUAGAAAAUGGUGGUUGCAUAGGAUUUGUCGGAGUCAAGCAAAAUUCUGGAAUCUGGCAGAUGCUGGUCGACAAACUUAAAUGGCAGAGGAAUGUCCCAUCUUGGCAAAGAUAUUUGAGCAAUUGAUGCUACCGUGAGACCUGGCUAUACCACAUAAUUAAGGGCUCACACCGUCAAAGUCAUCUCCUGAUUCACCUCUCAUCAUUGUUCUAGAAUCCAUGGCAGAUCCUUCAAUCUUUCUUCUCUUCAUAGCUUGUUCAAUUCUUCGGCAAAUCCUCACAACAUUAUUUCAAUCUUCCAAUGUUGCUAUGGUUGGUUGAGGAUUGUUAGAAAACUUUCUAACAGCUUGGUAAUCUUGGCAGCGCCCAGAAACUUGUAGUAUCGCCACUACCGACGUGUGGAAUCACACAUUGUCUCUAUUGGAAGAGCACCUGAUGAAUCUAAAACUCCUUUGUCCCCUCUUCGAUUUCUCACUGACAGUGCAGCAAACAAACACCUAUAGAGGAAGUCCUGCUCUGUUGAAGUUUCAGUAUUCUUCAUGUUUUUCAGUCUAGGCAUGUCUCUUUUCUCUACUUUUGCGUUUUAAUACUGACACUGUUGGAGGAAAAUCAUAGAUGACCUGAAACUACUGUAUUCCUUCUUGGACUUCCCACUUGCGGAUCCACAAACAGAUUCCUGCUGAGUGAGCUUUGCUACGUUGAAGUUUGAUGUCUGCUCAUAUUUUUCAGACCAGGUCUGGCUCUUCAACCUACUAAGAGGUCUUCGUGCUGAAACUGAUGAGAGAAAUAUUUGUAGCAUAUGCAACUUAUAAAUCCCCUCUUGCCUUCCCAAUUUGCAGAGCCAUAAAUUGAUUUUUGUAGAGAGAGCUCUGCCACAUUGAAGUUCAGUGUUCAAUCAUGGUUUUUCAGACCAUCUUGUGCUGCUGAACUGGAAUUGAGCUCGUAAUCGGGGUAACUUCAAAGCAGAUUAAUGCACCAUGUACAGGAGACCGGUAGUUGUUUGGUUCCAUUAGAUGAUGUGGAGGCGAUGAACAUUUAACAAUGCAACUGGAUAAGAACCAGAGUUGUCAUUAGUUGAUGACUGAAGGCGUUGUUGCUUUUGUUCAUGACGAAAAAGGAGAGAUACAGCUUCAAUUAGAUGUGAACAAGCAGUGUUCCCACAGAAGACUGUGCAGAUAUUCUCUUUCCAUUUGAUGUUCAACACUUGUUCGAGCAGAUCUGAGUCUAGCUACUUCACAUUUAAUGCUCUCAACCUUAAUCUGAUAAUGAGCCUCUAUCUGACACCUUUCUUCACCUCCAUCAUUUUUCUCCAAUCACGUGCAGCACAGCUUGUGUGGGGGACCUACCUUUCAGCCCGGUACAUGCAUGAUAAAUGUAUGAACAUGUAAUCUAUAUGAUGAACUCACCCUUCGAGAGGUGACAAUAUGGUCGUAACUCUUGUAUGAUGGACAAGAAUCGUGAUUUUUGCCCAAACUCUACAAUGAAAAUUUUCGGAGCAACGGCCAAUGUGUCACCCACAAGUCUUGAGUUCAAGAUGCUUCAAGAAGGGUUUGCCCUUAUGCAAAAAAGAUAGCACAUACAACCUAAGGACAGGUUCUAUUCAUUAUGUGAACAUGGGUAGGUUUUCUAUCUGGUCUCAAAAGGGUCUCAUAUCUGCCCAGUGACGUUCUUCGUAAAGACAGUAUGGGGGCGUUGCAAGGAAUGGUUAAGGCACGUAUACCCACCAUUACCAAGCAGGCACUCAGAUAUGAGUUGGGUGUUUCACGCAUCUGAACCCUGACCAAUAGUCUUAGGGCAGAUCGCUAGUUCCCCACCUAACCUAGAAGCUUGUGUGUGCUUUCAAAAAUAAAUACAGGUGAUGCAUGAACAAUUCUAUAAAAUGCAUGGAAAAAAAUUAACAAAAAGAUAAAAAUGCAAAAAACUUAAACACAUCAAAUACACAAAGCUUAGUCCAAUAAUGUCAGAAACAGUACCUUCCCCAGUGGAGUCGCCAUUCUGUCGCACCCCAAAAAAAACAUCAGCGGCGGCAUCGGCUGGCGAUUUUCUCGUUGUUGCGUUGUUUGAAUUUGGUUCGUUGGAGUCGCCACCUAGUAAUUGAUUCGGGCUACUAGGAAACCGGAUGUACUGGUCUUGUCAGAGAUUCGCGGUAAGGGACUGGUUGUGGUUAGGGAAGGUAUUAGCACCCCUAACGCACCCUACCUGAGGUAAGCUGCUUCGUGAUUUGACGUGUUAAAGAAGUUUUAAUAAUUGUCUUUUCAUCGGAAAUUAGAAAUAUCACUUACGUAUAAGUUAAUAAUUCUUAACCGUGAUCCGAUCAAAAUAUUAAAUUCUUCUUUAAUAUUUGCAAUUUUAUCAUUAAAAAUAUAUUAAAAAAUAAAACAAAUACAAACACCCACAUUCACUUUCACUAUUUUUUUGUUUCUUUUCUUUUCUUUUUUCUUUUCUUUUUGUUCACAUUACAAAUAAUAAAAACAAAUCAAACUAAAUAAAAAUUACAUUACAUAAUUUACAAAUUACAAAUAGUCCCUAAACUCCAUAAAUUGCAGCAUUGCCCUUCUACCACCCACAGGACCAGUAGCGGCGCGUCACCCAACGCGCCACCACCACUGGCGGCGCGUGGGCUCACGCGCCGCCGCUGGAAACUCAAAACAAAGCAGGGGCUGGUGUCUUCUUCCCCUCUGUCUUCCCACGCCGGCGGUGGGAGUCACCGUCACCUGCAAAGACCACAAAGAUACACAAGGCAGUUGUUUUAGUUUUGUUUUUUACAGAUCUGUUUUCCUUCUUCUUCUCCAGAUCUGCUCCGUCUUCUCUUCUUCGUGGCGUCCCGUCUUUCCUUCUUCAAUCGGUGGCUCUGUCGGAGGCGGGAGCUGUCGGUGGUGGUCACUGUGUUGACAGCGUGGACGGCGCUGUUCGGCUGAAGAAGGAGACGGCAGGUCUGCAGCGAUGGGGAACGGCUGUUUUCUGUGGGAACCGGGACUGUGGUUUCGUAGGAGGCGCCGUCGAAGGAAGAUCGAUGGCGGGGGAAGCAGCGUGGAUGGAGAGGGACGGCGCCGCCGCUGGGUUCUUCGGGUGGCUGAGGAAGAAAGGAAAUAAAUCAUAGGGGUUCUCUUGGGGGAGAAGAGAGGAAAAAAAAUCAAAAGGGGAGGUCUGGGGGAGAAGAAGAAGGAAAUAAAAUCAGAGGGAAAGGUGGGGGACGAGUCUGUCGGAGCAAAACAAUUCCAGCGGGGGGAUAAAAAAAAAAUAGCCGGAGAGGAGAGAUUAGCCGUGGCCUCUGGUUUUGGGAGAGCUGGUAAAUGAAGGCCUGGUGUUGAUGACCGGUGGCUGGGUUAAGGAGGAGGAAAUCCGGCCUGGUUUGGGUCGAAAAAAAUGAAACCGGGGAGGGGAGGCAGCUAUGUGUUGUUGGGGGGAACAGUGUGACGGCCGGCUUGGUAGAGGUAGAUUUUAGGGUUUUUCUUUUGUGUUGUCUCUCCCCUCAAAAAUAUCAAAAUUGCCCCCCC
rnacentral:lncRNA from 1 species